rnacentral:lncRNA from 1 species
UUUGAAAAUUCCUUAGAAUUAGACUUUAUGUACAUUUUAAGGAUCAUUGUACCACUUUCUCUCUUACAUUUUGCUAAGCCGAACACGCCUUUACAUUACAUUAAAUAUUCGUAAAACAUAAAGAAAACUACAUCAGGAUGAUCUCUUGGGAGAUUAUUGAUGUACGAAUGGAAACGAACCAAGUCCUCGUCAGCAACCCGAUCAGCAUCCACAACCUCGUCAUCACACGUCAAAACCCAUAAAUCCCGCGAUUGUACUCUCUUUAAGUUACCUCUACAAAACGGGCAAGAUGACGACCUUGUCUUCCUAAAAACAUAAAACAUGACAUUUUAAUGUUUUGACCCGAUACCCAUUACACAACCUUAUCGACCCGCCCAUUUUGUCACGUCUACUUAAGCACUAGUUUUUAGAUAUUUGUGACAUACCAGUCUCGAUAGCAGUUGAUGCACAUCGCGUGACAACAAUUAGGCAAAACGAUCUUUGUGCACGAUUCUAAGCAAAUCCCACAUUCGUUUUCUCUUUCUAAAUCAAGACUUUUGACACCACUUUCGUUUUCUGGUUUGUUUUUACUUGAUAUCUCUAAACUCGAGCUUUCGCCUUUAGAACCACCAACCAUGGGAUAAUCAAGCUCCACCAAGUCAAGGUGUAGCCUUCUCAAAGAUGGCAGUAUAACAGCUGCAUAUAUCAAUUUUCAUCAGGAAAAAAAAAUAGAACUUUUUUUUUUUACUUUUCUAUAAAAAAAAUAUUCCAAACCGUGGUAAUUGACACUUCUUAGGCAAAAAAAAAAUAUCAACUUAUUUGCAUAAAAACAAAGGGAUUUUUUUUAUUCAAGUAAAAUAUUUACUUUUUUUAUUGAGUGUUCUUUUUAUUGCUAUUUAUCCAUUAUUAAAGGUAUUGGACAGGUUAAACCGGGUCUGGGUCGUAAUGGAUAUGAAACCGGGUUGGGCUGACCCGCAGAUUUUUAAACAAAAAUUAAAAUAGUUUAGUGCUAUAAAUAUAUUUACAAAACACUCUUAUCACCAAAAUAACGAUUUGAAUAUUUAAUAUAAACUAGAGUUAAUUACUGGUUUCGUCCCUGUGGUUUGUCAAAAAUCACUAUUUCAGUCCAUUAGUGUUGUAUGCAAUAAACAUACAUUUUGGUAAUUUGGCCCAACCCACACAUGUGUAAACGGUUCAAAACCGCCACCUCAACUUAAAAGGGAAAUACCAAGUAUAAUGUAUCGGCUCAAAGUAUGGUAAAGGUAUAAUAACAAACCGUAAAAGUCACUUAUCGUUGCCUUCCUCCCAUGUCUAGAAAUCUUCGGUCUUCCAUCUGUAUAAACCUUGUAGACAAGAACAUGAACAAGAUUCAAGUAUCUAGGCAAUAGGCAAGUGCAAGAGGAAUCAAUCCAUUGAAGCAAGAACAUAACAAGAGGUGCUAAUUCAUUGUAAACUAGUUUCAUUUGAAAUCUUGCACCGUCUUUAGCUCUAGGAAUUGCAGCUGCCCUGCAAAUUCAGUAUGAUUAACAUAAGAGUAAUCUACAAAAUAAUAUAAAAAAAGUGGUAUUAAUAAGUUCUUCUUCUUUGAUGCCAGAAUCAGCAGUAAGGUAGCGUUUGGUAUGCAGGAAUGAGAGGUGGAAUGGAAUGGACCAUUGAGAGGGAAUGAAGAAAACAGUGUUUGGUUGGUCGAUGGAAUGGAAUCGCCCAUUCCAAAAUGCAUUCCAUUCCCUCAAAAUCAUUCCAUCCCCCCCCUCCCUGUGUUUUUUUCCAUUCCAUUCCCUCUUCACCCUUCAUUAACAACACCACAACUCACUACCGUUGCCACCACCCACCAUCACUGUCAUCCGCCGCCGUCACCUGCCUUCGUUGCCGUCACCAUAUGUAACAAAUUGGUUACAUAUGGGUGACAUUUAGCCGGAAUUGAUCGGAAUAAAGUUUCUCAAGUAGAUACGGCAUACGCGAUCAUGGAUUCGCGUAUCUUAUCUGGCUACGCGCAUAAACGUUUGCUACUGAUGUAUGAUCAUCCUGAAAAAAAUGGCUACUUUGGGGACUUUCUCAUAAUAUAGUUCUUAACCACAAACCUGUCAUUUUCCUAAAUAUUAAUACUAAAAAUUCCUUUUUUAACUAGCCACUACCUAAUAUCUAGCUCAGCCACUUGGUGUUUAUUUUUGGGAUUUCUAACAGCUAAAAUCCUCUUUUUACCAACAUAAAGUAUGUUGAAAAUUAUAUAUGAGCUGCAUAAUUCAUAAACAGGUUUAAACUCUGUCUAAGGGACCAAAACCCCUCAAAGAUUCUAGCUUUGCUAACUUAAAAACUCAAGUUUUUUUUUUUUUUUUUUUUUUUUUUUUUGCAAUAAAGUUUCAAGAUUUUCAAGAAUCACACAAACCCUCUUCUGGAAAACAAAAAAGAAUCAAAACCCAUAUCAAGAUUCUAGCUUUCCUAACUUAAAAACUCAAAAACUUUUUUUUUUUUUUUUUUUUUUGCAAUAAAGUUUCAAGAUUUUCAAGAAUCACACAAACCCUCUUCUGGAAAACAAAAAAGAAUCAAAACCCAUAUCAAGAUUCUAGCUUUCCUAACUUAAAAACUCAAAAACUUUUUUUUUUUUUUGAAUAAAGUUUCAAGAUUUUCAAGAAUCAAACAAACCCUCUUCUGGAAAACAAAAAAGAAUCAAAACCCAUAUCAAGAAUCAAAGAAACUAAGAUAAAAACAGCUUACAGAGCAUUAGCAUGUUGUAUAUCAGCCUCAAGAACCUUCAAAGAUUCUUCAUAAGAGCAUCUACCAAGUGGGCAAUACACCAUAUCCAUCUUGAUCUUCAAUAAAACUCACCUAUAAUAUAACCUUCUUCACACACUAUAGUCUGCCUAUAUACACACAUGUGAAUUGUGAUGU